CUUUUACUUACAGCCAAAUCGCCAGGGAACUACGAGCUAAGCUUAAAACCCAAAGGACUUGACGGUACCCCAAAUCCCCCUAGAGGAGCCUGUCCUAUAAUCGAUAAUCCACGUUUAACCUCACCACUUUUAGCCAACCAGUCUGUAUACCUCCGUCGUCAGCUUACCCCGUGAGCGUCAAUUAGUGAGCCCAAUGUUAAUUCACCAAUACGUCAGGUCAAGGUGCAGCAAAUGAAGUGGGAAGAGAUGGGCUACACUCUCUAUAUUAGAAAAAACGAAAAACUACCUAUGAAACCUAGUUAGAAGGCGGAUUUAGCAGUAAAAAGGAAUCAGCAUAUCCUUUUUAACCCGGCACUGGGGUGUGUACACACCGCCCGUCACCCUCUUCAAAGCUAAGAACAUAGUUUUUAACAAACCCAAACAUGAC
rnacentral:rRNA from 1 species